GGCACAGGAAAAAAAAAUACAAAUGCAAAGCAUAGAGGAGAAAAAUAAUUAAGACUCUGAAUGCUAAAAAAAUGAAAAUGAAAUUGUUGAGGUAAUGGAAGGAAUUCAAGGAUAAAAAAUUGCACGCUUGCAAAUUCAUACUUCCAUUAAAGAGCAUGUGUUCAACAAAAGAACAAGCACAAUACAUAAUCGAAAUCCAUAAAUUGCAUCAAAUGCUUAUAAUACCAAUGCGUCAAACGCAAGACUGAACUGAACCCAAAACUACAUAUGAGAUCGACAAACCCUAACUUCAGCUUCAGUCACAGAUGGAACAAAAUUUCAACAAAACCCUAGAAUUUAAUUAGAAACGUAUGUCUAGGCGUCCAUAGG
rnacentral:misc_RNA from 1 species